GACAGAGGUCCCGAGCGUUAGGCGGAAUCACUGGGCUUAAAGCGUGUGUAGGCGGAUUGGUAAGUACCUUGUGGAAUCCCACGGCUUAACCGUGGAACUGCUUGGUAUACUGCUUAUCUUGGGCCACUUAGGGGCUACCGGAACAAACGGUGGAGCGGUGAAAUGCGUAGAUAUCGUUUGGAACGCCAAUGGUGAAGGCAGCUUGCUGGGACGGUACUGACGCUGAGACGCGAAAGCGUGGGGAGCAAACAGG
rnacentral:rRNA from 1 species